rnacentral:rRNA from 1 species
ACUAAGCCAUGCGAGUCAAGGGGCUCCUUCGGGAGCACCGGCGGACGGCUCAGUAACACGUGGGCAACCUACCCUCGGGUGGGGGAUAACCUCGGGAAACUGAGGCUAAUACCCCAUAGGCCUCGGAUACUGGAAGGUUCCGAGGCUGAAAGCUCCGGCGCCCGAGGAUGGGCCUGCGGCCUAUCAGGUAGUUGGUGGUGUAAAGGACCACCAAGCCUGCGACGGGUACGGGCCCUGAGAGGGGGAGCCCGGAGAUGGACUCUGAGACACGAGUCCAGGCCCUACAGGGCGCAGCAGGCGCGAAACCUUCGCAAUGCGCGAAAGCGCGACGAGGGGAGCCCGAGUGCCCUUCCUUUUGGGAGGGCUUUUCCGGAGUCUAAAAAGCUCCGGGAAUAAGGGCUGGGCAAGACGGGUGCCAGCCGCCGCGGUAAUACCCGCAGCUCGAGUGGUGGCCACUAUUAUUGAGCCUAAAGCGUCCGUAGCCGGACCCGUAAAUCCCUGGGUAAAUCCUGGCGCUCAACGUCAGGAAUUCCGGGGAGACUGCGGGUCUUGGGACCGGGAGAGGCCGGAGGUACUCCCGGGGUAGGGGUAAAAUCCUGUAAUCCCGGGGGGACCACCUGUGGCGAAAGCGUCCGGCUUGAACGGCUCCGACGGUGAGGGACGAAGGCCAGGGGAGCAAACCGGAUUAGAUACCCGGGUAGUCCUGGCUGUAAACGCUGCCCGCUUGGUGUUGUCGGUCUCUCGGGGGCCGGCAGUGCCGGAGCGAAGGUGUUAAGCGGGCCGCUUGGGGAGUACGGCCGCAAGGCUGAAACUUAAAGGAAUUGGCGGGAGAGCACUGCAACGGGAGGAGCGUGCGGUUU